GAUGAACGCUAGCGGCAGGCUUAAUACAUGCAAGUCGAGGGGCAGCACAGGUAGCAAUACUGGGUGGCGACCGGCAAACGGGUGCGGAACACGUACACAACUUACCUUCUGGUGGGGGAUAGCCUUUGGAAACGGAGAUUAAUACCCCAUAUUAUAUAUGAGCUGCAUGGUUUGUAUAUUAAAGAUUUAUUGCCGGAAGAUGGGUGUGCGUAUGAUUAGGUAGUUGGCGGGGUAACGGCCCACCAAGCCGACGAUCAUUAACUGGUGUGAGAGCACGACCAGUCACACGGGCACUGAGACACGGGCCCGACUCCUACGGGAGGCAGCAGUAAGGAAUAUUGGUCAAUGGACGGAAGUCUGAACCAGCCAUGCCGCGUGGAGGAUGAAGGUCCUCUGGAUUGUAAACUUCUUUUAUAGGGGGCGAAAAAAGGGAAUUCUUUCUCGUCUGACGGUACCCUAUGAAUAAGCACCGGCUAACUCCGUGCCAGCAGCCGCCGUAACAC
rnacentral:rRNA from 1 species